rnacentral:lncRNA from 1 species
GGAUGUUUUAGGAGGUUUUUGGGGAGUUUAUUAGAGUUAUGUUUAUGUAUGAUUGGUCCCUCAUUGGAGUCCACCUGUGUAGGUUCGGACCCGAGGAACCGAGGACCUCAGCAGUGAGACAGCUGCUUCAGAGUCUGUAGAGCUUCAGCCAGAGGUGAGUGGAAUGAACCUUAAGUUUUUAAAUAAAUGAAAUAUAACUUUUUGGAGCAUGUUCAUGCAUCAUAUAUGCCAUGUGAUAUUUUAGGUUGUUUGCAUUAGUAUUCACGAAUAUGUUGCAUUGCAUAAUAUGAUGUGGAUGCGGAUUGGCUAUUGGAUGAUCCUCUAGUCCUCCUAUGGUACGAUAUGAUGAUGAUACGGUAUGGAUUGCCAGUGAGGCCCAUUCUACGCCCCUGGACUAUGUUAAGAGAAAGACCAGUGAGGCCCAUUCUACGCCCCUGGCAUAUUGGAAUGUUAUGUUAUGUUAUGUAUGUAAGAGAAAGACCAGUGAGGCCCAUUCUACGCCCCUGGCACGAUUGGACUAUGUUGAGGACUAUAGGUGACAAUACCAUCCUUAUGUGAUAUGUUUGUGAUGUGUUGCAUUUCAUGGAAGCAUCAAAUAUUUAAUAUAUGUUUU